AGGCUGGUCUUGAACUCCUGACCUCGGGGGAUCCGCCCACCUUGGCCUCCUAAAGUGCUGGGAUUACCUGCGUGAGCCACCGCGCCCAGCCAAUUUUUCCUAUUUUUAGUAGAGAUGGGGUUUCACCAUGUUGCCCAGGCUGCUCUCAAACUCCUGGGCUCAAGCAAUACCCCUGCCUUGGCCUCCCAAAGUGCUGGGAUUAUAGGCAUGAGCCACUGUGCCCAGCUAUGAUGAAUUUUAAGGCGUAGAUCAGAAUUGAUGAUGCUGAGAAAGAGAAUGUGAGAGAAUGGUGAGUGAAAUAAGAGGAAUGUUGGAAAUUACUGACUCAGAAGUUCAAAGAAGAAGGAGUGGCCAACACGAAAAGUGUUUCUGAGAGAUCAGGAAAGAUGACGUUGUGUCCACUGGAAUUGGCCACCUUGAGGUGGUGACCUUGAUGGGAGCUGGGUCAGGUGUGAGGGGAGCCAGGCUGCAAGGGGUGAAGGGCCAAGUGGGAGUACAGUGCAGAGCCCGACAGAUCAGAGUCCCCUCUGUGGCUUCAGUUUCUUCACUGGAAGAGGGAGGAGCUUUUGGGGCAUGGAAGGCUCUGGAAUAGUGGAGGGGGAUGAUGGAGAAGGAUAGAUAAGAAGACUGAUAAGCAGGAAUGAGGGCUGAGACCAGAGCCCCCAGACUUACAGAAACAGGAAUCUGCACAGAUGGGAGGUUCCCUCCAACAACCUCCCAUCACCCAGAUGUAGCAGCAGAGAAGCUGUUGAAGAACUGGCCCAAGAUUUCCAGGUUUCAGGCUGGGAUCAGUGGAAGGCUGGUGGUCAAAGCAGAAGUGUGGCAAGCGGAGUUCAGAAGGGUUCAGAUUUUCCACAUGGGGUCUUGGCUAGGGAGGGAGAAAUGCCAGAAAAGGCUGGCUGACAGGCUGGAGACCUGUAAUGUACCCUACAUACGGAUGUUUGGGAAGCAAUUCGGGGUAUGAAGAGCUGCAGUGCUUGGCUGUGGGGAAGGGUGGAAGAGAUAUGGAGAAGUCCUGAGACCCAGAGGCAGUGUUCAGUUGUGGGUUUUUUGAGGGAAAAUAGCGUCCUCUGGGGGAAGGCAGGAACUGCAGUAGAGAGGAUGGCUGAGCUGGUGCUAGACUAGUGUUCCUGACUGGGGAAUGCAGCGAGGGGGAGGGAGGUGCAGGACCAGGGCACGGAGAGUCCCUUGGAAGGAAAGUUCAGGGAGAAGGCCCUGGGUUCAGUGGGAGGCUGUGGAGAGGGCACGUAGGAUGCUUGGUGUCAGGACCUUCUGGGGAGUUCUGGGCAGCCAGACCAGCCACUGGCUCCUCCCUUUACUACUCAUUUAUGCACCUCCCCCUCAUCCCCACCCAGGGAUUGCCCCCAUACCCAGCCCCG
rnacentral:lncRNA from 1 species